UUUAAUCCUAGUUAAAAUCCCAUUGGACUUCAUUUAAAAUUUAGGCCAAAAAUUAACUAAAUCUUAAAUCCUAAAUAAAUCCUAAUAAAACUCUAAAUCAUAAAUAAAAUUCUUAUCAAACCUUAAAUAAAACCCUAAUAAAAUCCUAAAUCCUAAAUCAAAUCCUAAAAAAAUCUUAAAUCCUAAACCAAUUCUUAACCAAAUCCUAAUUUCUAAACCAAAUCCUAAUCUUAAAUCAAAUCCUAACCAAAUCCUAACCAAAUCAUAAUCUUAAAUCAAAUCCUAAUCAAAUCCUGAAUCCUAAAUCAAACCUUAAUCAAAUCUUAAAUCCUAAAUCCUAAACCAAAUCCUAACCAAAUCCUAACCCUAAAUCAAACCCCAAUCAAAUCUUAAAUCCUAAAUUAAAUCCUAAUCAAAUCUUAAACCCUAAACCAAAUCUUAA
rnacentral:lncRNA from 1 species